rnacentral:lncRNA from 1 species
CUCUUGUGAAACGUUACUGGCUAUCAAAAUAUCUUAGAUACCUGAAGAAGAACAUGCAUUUCUAACCCUGUUUUGUUGGUGACAUGGCUUGAGACACUCAGUCUGCUUAUAACGUUUGGAUAAGAGGGACUGUUUGAAUUUGCCCACAGCAGCCUUUACAAGCAUGGCUGAUGACACAUUUUGCUCAGAAGAUAGGAGAACUGCCUUGCCUCAGGCAGCUUCUGGGCAUUCCAAGAAAACUCAAGUUUUUAUCCACACUUCAACAACAGCACAUCUUAGCUCCUACUAGAGAGACAUACCUCCACGAUCUUCUCUCUGUUUUUAGUUGGGUUCAUGGGAGGCUCUGUAAGCAGUAUUUUACAAUUUUUUGUGUCAAUAUUAAGUUUCUCUGGUCCAAAUGUGUAAUCCCAGAGGUGCUUCAUAUCAUCCCAGUUCCGAACGAUGCCAUUCUCCAUUGGAUAAUUAACUUCCAGCAUUGAACGUAAUUCACUUGCUUCAUCUCCAACCAUGAGAUCCUUGAUUUCGAUGUUUCCCACUUUAGCAGUUGAUCUUAUAAUAGGUCUUCCAACCAAGGCUGGAAAUAUGUGCUCCGGAAAAUUGGAGCCUGCAUAGCCACAUUUCACAAACCCGGUGCCGUUGUCGCACACCACCACCUUCCUCCCCAGCGUGUCCAUCCCUCCUCCUCCUCCUCCUCCUCC